CACCUGCCUAACCAUGACCACUAGUCUGGAGAAGCACUGGCUUCAGCAGCAGAAGGCAGAAUCAUUGAUAGCAAGAAUCUUUUGAGCUCCUCAGAGCCAUGCAGCUCCUCACCCUUACCCUCUGCCACUGCCAUCAGCAAUGGGGAUUUCUCAGCAGUCAUCUAUGAGAGAUUAUAGCUGUUUGGAUCAACACAGCCCCCUCCUCUUCAUCAUGAAAACUACCACUGCAUUAUGUAGUCUGGGACACUCAAGCUCCUAUCCUUGCUCGUAGAAGAUCCAACUAUUUGCCCCACAAGCAAACAGUCUCAGCUCAAAUACAGUAUCUUUAAGGAUGCCGGAGAUACAGGAGUGCUGGGAAGGCAAGACCAUGGUCCCUUUAAAUGAUACGGGAGUGCUGGGUAGAGGAAGGGUGUGGUCCCUGGCUAGGGCUCCACCCCCACCGACCUAGAUGAGGACCUGGCACUCCUGCCUGCACGCCCAAAUGUUGUAUUUCCCAAGACCAUCCUGGCCCACCACGGCCCCAUCCUGUGACUAUAAAAACCUGAGACUCUAGCAAGGCAAAGACCGAAACGACUGGACGUGUAGAGGAGCGGAUCAGCAGAAGAAGAUAGAGGCAGGGGGAUGUCAAAUGCAGCAUAUCAGCGUAGGAACACACAGGCCGUUGAAGCGAGAGAGGAGCACAUCAAUGAAAGAAGGCACAAGCAUCUGGAUGGCGAGAGGAUGUUGAGGGGAGCAUGGCAGCUGAAGAGCACACCGACAGGACACACGCCGGCACUGUCCCGGUGGGAGUGGGAUGAGGCGGAGUUUGGUGGGGGCAGUGGGAGGAGAGCCCUGGCCGUGGAGUGCCCCAACUCCAGGGGAAAACCAUCUCCCUUCUGGCUCCCCCAUCUGCUGAGAGCUACUUCCACUCAAUAAAAGCUUGCACUCAUUCUCCAAGCCCACAUGUGAUCCUAUUCUUUCGGUACACAAAGGCGAGAAACCCCGGGAUACAGAAAGCCCUCUGUCCUUGAGAUGAGGUAGAGGGUCUAAUUGAGCUGGUUAACACAAGCCUAUAGAUGGCACACUAAGAGAGCAUCCUGUAACACACGCCCACUGGGGCUUCAGCUGUAAACAUUCACCCCUAGACACUGUUGUAGGGUGGGAGCCCCACAGCCUGCCGUCUGUAUGCUCCUCUAGAGGUCUGAGCAGUGGGGCACUGGAGAGCCACACCCACAUCGCAUGCCCUGCCGGGGGACUACUGAACCUUUCCCGUUUCACUAGCAUAUACAAUAUAACCCUCUGGCCUAUCGCUUUAACACAUUUCCUCAGAGCGUUCAACAUCAUCUGUUAAAUACUUGUAUUAUAAUAUUUUAUCUCUUUAUUUCUUUUGCUUUAUAAAAUAAAUUGCUUAUCUUUUCGGUAAUCCCCUGUAUCCCUGAUGCUUCGAUCAAUGCCUAACAUAUAUUGAAUUAAUAUUAAUUGAUGAAAUAAAUGGAUAAACACACUCCUUCCUGAGUAUGAAUAUAUCUUAACUGUAUCACAUAACUUUUUUCACAUUCUUCCUUGCCUCAACGGUUUGCAUAUAUUUCACGUAGGUCACUUAUCACUAUCGGGAUUUAUGUAAUUUAAAAAUCUCCUCCAUUAAAUUGCAAAUUUCUUGGCAACUGGAUUUUCUUAUAUUCAUUUGUUAAAAUUUGCAUGCCUUUAAGACAUACAUAUACUAACUGCUCAAAUAAUAUUAUUUAAAUGAAUGGAUGUAAAUUAUACUAAGGGCAAGUUUAAGAAUUAUUAUUUCCUUUUUACCCAGAAGCUUAAAAACAUUUCAUUUUCUAAAAUUCUAUGAGAAGGCAUAUAUAUGAUUAUAGCACUGGCC
rnacentral:lncRNA from 10 species